UGUUGGCACUGGCAACACGGAUGAUCGCAUGGCAGUAGGUGCAACAGACAGUGGCGAUCUGGAUCACCCUUCAAUCUGACAAAUUGGAAUCGAAGAACGAAGCGGAAUGUCAAAUGAUAUGACUAGCGAAUUUGAUAAACUGUCAUAACAGGCUAGAAAUAAGACGAAGCGAAUUAUUUUGUACAAAAAGUGGAGAAGCUAUAAUUUGAUAUUAUUAUAUUCUAUAUUUCUGCACUGUGAGUACCAUUGAAUUGGAAAUAAGCAAAUGAAUUUAUUACGUUAUUAAUAUUACAGCUGCUUGUACUGAGGUCGAAGAACUGAUAGAUCAAAAGUAACCUUGGUUCGAUCUAGUUGAAUGUAAGUUAUUUUGCCUCGCAAUUGAAUUCGUUAGAUCUAAUUUAUUUGUUAAUUUAGAUUACAGUGCAGUAGUUUAUCGCUUAAAUCCCAAAGGAAAGUUUGAUCACUAUAAGUUGCCGAAAUUGUAAGCACAAAACACCGAUUUCAUGAUAAGUACUAGGCUAAAUGAACUUUAUUGUUUUAGCUUAAAAGCAACUCGUCAAUAAACUGUUCGCUGAAGAAUCGACGACUUCUUUCCUUGGACUGCGGUAACAAUCUUUUAAGAAUUUCGCUGAAUAAACCAUUGGAAGGCGUACGGCAAGCAAUGGCAACAGCAUCAGGGAAGCUCGUAAACACUCAGCAAAACUGUGGGGGCUGCAAUAAGCCCAGCUUCGACGACGGAUCAAAGAUCGUAUGUCAACAAUGUCGUCGUUGGUACCACGAUGCUUGUGGAGCUGGAGUUGGGCAAACCGGAGAUGGCAGUUGGUCGUGCGUAGCGUGCGUGUUGUCCACGGAUGGGCCGGCGAAAUCGAUUAUCUCGACCAGCAGUACCCGAUCGGCUCGAAUGCGAUUGGAACUGAUGCGGUUGGACGAAAUGCAGCAGGCUAAAGAAAAGCAUAUGAUUGAGCGGCAGGAACAGGAGCGGCUGCGAGAAGAGCGUAUACAAAGGGAGAAAGAGAGUUUGACCCAGAAGUACAUCGAUGAAAAAUAUGCUUUACUGAUGUCGGAGACCUUGGAGGAUGGUGCCAGUAGCGUGAGAAGCCGAGGCAGUCGCCAGAAAAGUCUUGAUAGAGUCAAAGAAUGGAUGGAAAUCUCUGCGACAGGAACGGCGCUAGGAGAUUCGAUUAUUAGUCUGCCACAUCCGCCGGCGACUGGCAAUCAAAACAAUAUGCUGCAUGGAACUCCACGCACUUCGGUUGGAGCUAAGGCCAUUGAUAGUUCCGAGGCGGGACAGAAUAUCGCAGAAAUAAGACAGAAUCGAAACCUGAAUCUCUUGCAUCCGCCACAAGAAACCCUUUCAAAACGAGAUGGAGUAUUCUUUGGACAGAUGUACCGAAAUGGUGGAACGAAUUUGCUGCAGAAGAUUGAAGAGAAUGGCUCGGCAUUGAUACCGGCAUCAGCGGCUACCCAAACGCUGCCACCAACAAGUGGUCCGACUCAUACAGUGUCUUUCGUACAAAAUACAACCGACACAGGACUCCAAUCAUCUUCGUCUUUGGGGAAAAUACCGCUGGCGUUGCCUAUCACCUCGGUAGGGUCCCAAUUCCCCACGCCAAGAUCAACGGUACACCAUGUACCGGCCUCGGACACGCACAUACCUUUGCCGUCUGCACCUGAUGUUUUUUCGAUUAUUCCUCCGGAACCGACCCAACUACCAGUACCGGAAUCAAGUUCAGUGCGAGCACCAGUAUCACUCAGCGGGAACCCAGUGCAUGCCCCCAAUGCACUACAUCAACAACCAUUUCGUCCGUUGCACGGAGGUCAAGCAUUGCACAUGCCAGCGUGGCAGCCGCAUCAUUCGCCUGCUGGCCAUUCACGGCCACAGCAGCCGUGUUCGGCCUACUACGGAGUGCCUGAAACGUUCAUAGGCCAGUACCAGCAGCAAAUGGCAGCGAGACAGGUGGUACCGAGAGAACUUCCCGUCUUUACGGGACACCCGGAGGACUGGCCUAUUUUUAUCAGUAGUUACCGUAACUCGACGACGAUGUGCGGUUACACCGACGCUGAGAAUUUGAUGCGUCUCCAAAAGUGUUUGCGCGGUACUGCAUUGGAUGUAGUUCGAAGCAAUUUGCUCCUUCCAUCUUCGGUCCCCCAAGUCCUGACCACAUUAGAGACACUAUUCGGUAACCCGGAACGAAUCAUUCAGUCACUUCUGACUAGAGUACGAAACACUCCUGCGCCGAGGGCUGACAAACUCGAGACGCUAAUUAAUUUUGGUGUCGUUGUUCAAAACCUAGUAGGACAUUUGAAAGCAGCCAACCAACAAGUUCACCUGACAAAUCCUUCAUUGUUGCGCGACUUAGUCGACAAGUUACCCGCUAAUAUACGCCUGGACUGGGCGCUGUACAAAAAGCGGGUGGUAGCGGCUGAUCUGGAGACGUUCAGCACUUACAUGUCGGCGAUUAUCUCUGCAGCUAGUGACGUUACAAACUUCAGCGAAAUCGAAGCGACGAGACCCAUCAGAAGCGAGUUGAAACCAAAGGAGAAGGCAUUCAUGAACGUCCACAACUCAGAGGAUAAUUAUAAGCAGGUAAAGGGUCCAAAAGGUGACGAUAGUAGAAACAAAAAUGUAGUUGCCGUUAAACCUUGCUUCGUUUGCGAAAAGUUAGGGCACAGGGUUAAAGAAUGUUUUAUGUUUAAGUCUUUUUCUCUUAUUGAUCGUUGGAAUGCGGUAAAAACACACCAAUUGUGUCAUAAGUGUCUAGUGCCACAUGGUAGGUGGCCGUGUAGGACGCUGAAGUCCUGCGAUAUCAGUGGAUGUGUUGUUGAUCAUCAUUCGCUUCUACAUCCUGGUGAUCCUGAAUCCUCCGAAGUCGCCGUAGUCGCUGUACAUCGUCAACCGAAAAGUCAUGCUAUUUUUCGGAUCAUCCCUGUCAUUCUGUACGGGAAGGCAACACGAUUUGAAACGUUUGCUUUCUUAGACGAGGGAUCUGAUUUAACGCUGAUGGACGAGGAAAUUGCCGAUCUCCUGGGCGUUGAUGGUGAGAAAAAAGGGUUAUGCAUAAAGUGGACAUCGAACGUGACCAGAGAUGAAGCGAACUCUAGGCAGAUUAAUUUGGAGAUAACCGGGGCAGAUGGCGGCAAGCGCCUUCCUCUGGUGAAUGUUCGUACGGUUGGUCGGCUAGACUUGCCCCUCCAAACGUUAAACUACAACAAGCUGGCUACAAGGUUCACUCAUCUGAAAAGAUUACCCAUCCGAAGCUACGAGAAUGCUGCGCCGAGAUUGUUGAUCGGCCUUAGCAACUUGCAACUGGCCGUUCCAUUGAAAUGCCGAGAAGGUCGUGUCAAUGAGCCUGUAGCUACGAAAACUAGACUCGGAUGGACAGUUUUCGGCAAUAUGACGGAGUCAAACAUGCACCAUUCGUUUCACAUCUGUGAAUGCACGACUGAUGAAAAGCUGCACGACCUUGUCAAAGAGUUCUUUGCUGCAGAAAAUCUCGGAAUAACAAGUGGACCCUUGCCAGAAGGUAUUGAAGAUGCACGUGCAAAAGCUAUUCUUCGAGAUACAACAAGGAAGGACUCAGAUGGACAUUUCGAAACUGGUCUUCUCUGGCGCUAUGAUCAGUUUGAAUUCCCACCAAGUUAUAUGAUGGCUGCAAGAAGAUUUCGAUGCCUGGAGCGGCGAUUGCGGACGCAGACUGAACUACGGAACAACUUGGACAAGCAAAUAGCCGAGUACCUCGUAAAAGGAUACGCGCACAAAGCCAGUCAACAGGAGAUUGAAUGUGCUGAUCCAAAGCGGGCAUGGUAUUUGCCGCUAGGAGUGGUCAUUAGCCCUAAAAAACCCGGAAAAAUCCGGAUUAUUUGGGAUGCGGCCGCCAAGGUGGAUGGAGUAUCCUUUAAUUCGAUGCUGUUGAAAGGACCGGACAUGCUUACGUCUUUACCUUCAGUGCUUUUUCGCUUUCGAGAACGAAAAUUUUGCGUUACUGCGGACAUCAAAGAGAUGUACCAUCAGGUAAAGAUUCGCCCAGUUGAUCGUUCAUCACAGCGGUUUUUAUACCGGUCGGACCCAUCGGAAGAGCUGGAAACCUACAUAAUGGAUGUGGCCACCUUCGGGUCCACUUGUUCUCCAUGCUCCGCUCAGCACGUGAAGAACCUGAACGCCGCAGAAUGGAAAGACGUGUACCCAGAAGCUGCAUCUGCGAUUGUGGAAAACCAUUACGUGGAUGAUUAUUUGGACAGCCGGGAUACAGAGGACGAGUUGGCCAGUAUAGCGGGUGAUGUACGCACCGUACACUCCAAAGCGGGGUUCGAUCUUAGAAACUGGCGCUCUAAUUCGAACACGGUUUUGCAAAAACUUGGAGAGGAGCCCGCCAGCACGGGAAAGAUAAUUGGCGAAGACAAAUCGAGCAGAACUGAGAGAGUUUUAGGUAUGACUUGGCUGCCAGAUGAGGACGCGUUCACGUUUGCCCUUAUUCUACCCGCUGACUUGCAACGAAUGACGAUUGGAAAUGGAGCAGUUACUAAACGAGGUAUUCUGCGAAUGCUGAUGAGUUUGUUCGAUCCCCACGGUUUGAUCUCCAACUUUCUCGUUCACGGGAAAAUAUUAAUCCAGGACCUUUGGCGCAGUGGAGUAACCUGGGACGAAGCGAUACCACAGGAUAUUCUUGCCCGCUGGAAUCAAUGGGUGAACCAGCUGCCGCUUCUCGAGAACAUUCGGGUUCCACGAUGUUACUUCCCUAACUACAGCGUGAAAGAUCUGCAAACCAUCGAGCUACAUGUGUUUGUUGACGCGAGUGAGUCAGCCUAUGCAUGCGUGGCAUACUUUCGCAUCAUAGAGCAGGGUAAACCACGCUGUGCGUUCGUGUGUUCCAAGGCGAAGGUUGCUCCUCUCAAGCCAUUAUCAAUUCCGCGUUUGGAACUGCAGGCCGGAGUUAUCGGGAGUCGACUGGCUAAGACCAUUAAGAACAAUCACACUCUUCCAAUUCAGCGUACCGUUUAUCACAGCGAUGCCAGUACUCUACUGUCGUGGAUCAGAUCGGAUACGCGAAAGUAUAGGCAAUAUGUAGCAGUCCGUAUAGGAGAGAUUUUGGAGACCACCGACGUUUCCGAAUGGCGCUGGGUACCGACAAAACUCAAUGUGGCCGACGAGGCCACAAAAUGGGGCAACGGGCCAGCACUGGAACCUGAUAGUAGAUGGUUCAAAGGACCAGCGUUUUUGUAUUUGCCAGAGGAGUGCUGGCCUCAGCAGAAGGAACUACUAACAGAUACCGCCGAGGAGCUGCGAUCGGUAUACGUUCAUCAGGAUAUAGUACGCUCUACAGUUAUCGAAGUCUCUCGGUUUUCGAAGUGGGAACGCCUGUUACGGAGCAUGGCGUACGUAUAUCAUUUCAUCUGUUGCUGCCGCAGUCGAAGGGAGGAAAGAAGCAUGUUGCUGGAGCCUACGGAUUUUGAACGAGGAGAACAAGCUCUUUGGCGACUAGCUCAGGCUGAUGCAUACGCAGACGAAUUGGUGGAGUUGACGAAAUACUCAAAGAAAACUGCGAGGCGGCAACUACGCUUGGAGAAGUCCAGCAGCAUCCGCAAACUUUCUCCGUUCCUAGAUGAAUUUGGGGUUAUAAGAAUGGAAGGUCGAAUUGAAGCGUCACCUUUGGCGACAUUCGAUGCCAAAUACCCAAUCAUUCUUCCCAAAAAGCACUAUGUGACUGAGCUCCUGAUUGAUUGGUAUCAUCGGCGUUUUGGACAUGGAUUCGGUGAGACGGUAGUGAACGAGAUUAGACAAAAGUUCCACGUAUCCAAUCUGCGGGUACUAGUACGUGGCGCAGGGAAACGAUGCAUGUCAUGUUUGGUGCGGAAGGCAGUACCGGAAAACCCCAGAAUGGCUCCUCUACCAGCAGCUCGGUUAGCUGCAUUUGAACGACCGUUCUCCAGAGUGGGAAUUGAUUACUGUGGACCAUUUCUUAUCAAAGUUCAUCGAAGCACCGUAAAACGUUGGGUAGCGUUGUUCACGUGCUUGGUAACGAGGGCAGUGCACCUGGAGGUGGUCGCGUCGUUGUCAACGGAGUCGUGCAAGUUAGCGUUGCGGAGGUUCAUUGAUCGACGUGGAGCGCCGGCAGAAAUAUAUACUGACAACGGGACAAAUUUUCAUGGGACAUAUCGAGAACUGAAUAUGCAAGUCUUGGGUGUGAAUAAAGGUCUGGCAGAGACCUUCACUGAUGCAAACACUAGAUGGUUCUUCAUCCCUCCGGCCUCUCCACACAUGGGCGGAGUAUGGGAGCGGAUGAUACGCUCGAUAAAAACAGCAAUGGAAGGUCUACGACGUCUGCGGGAACCGACAGAGGAGGUGUUCCAAACCGUGUGUACGGAAGCUGAAUCGAUGAUAAAUUGCAGGCCUUUAACAUAUAUACCGUUGGAAACGCCAGAGCAGGAAGCUCUUACUCCCAACCACUUCCUGCUCUUAAGCUCAUCGGGCAUAAAACAAACGCUUAAACAUCCUACAACCGAAGGAACUGCACUGCGAAGUAACUGGGAUCAAUGUCAACUGAUGCUCGACCGUUUCUGGACUAGGUGGAUUCGUGAGUACCUGCCCACAAUUACACGCCGAACCAAAUGGUUUGAGGACGUCCAACCGUUGGUGGAAGGUUCAUUGGUGUUCAUAGUAAACGACAAGGAGCGAAAUAGCUGGGCAAGAGGCAAGGUUGUGAAGUUAAUUCCUGGAGCGGAUGGAAGGAUAAGACAGGCGGAUGUGCAGGUUGCUGGAGGUGGAAUACUACGUCGAGCAGUGGCAAAGCUGGCCGUGUUGGACGUGCUGGAGAGCGGUAAAGCUGGCGGAACCGGGCAGCUAUACGGGUUGGGGGAUGUUGGCACUGGCAACACGGAUGAUCGCAUGGCAGUAGGUGCAACAGACAGUGGCGAUCUGGAUCACCCUUCAAUCUGACAAAUUGGAAUCGAAGAACGAAGCGGAAUGUCAAAUGAUAUGACUAGCGAAUUUGAUAAACUGUCAUAACAGGCUAGAAAUAAGACGAAGCGAAUUAUUUUGUACAAAAAGUGGAGAAGCUAUAAUUUGAUAUUAUUAUAUUCUAUAUUUCUGCACUCUGCUUGUACUGAGGUCGAAGAACUGAUAGAUCAAAAGUAACCUUGGUUCGAUCUAGUUAAAUGUAAGUUAUUUUGCCUCGCAAUUGAAUUCGUUAGAUCUAAUUUAUUUGUUAAUUUAGAUUACAGUGCAGUAGUUUAUCGCUUAAAUCCCAAAGGAAAGUUUGGUCACUAUAAGUUGCCGAAAUUGUAAGCACAAAACACCGAUUUCAUGAUAAGUACUAGGCUAAAUGAACUUUAUUGUUUUAGCUUAAAAGCAACUCGUCAAUAAACUGUUCGCUGAAGAAUCGACGACUUCUUUCCUUGGACUGCGGUAA